rnacentral:sRNA from 1 species
UCUAUGUGUGUGUGGGCCGCGAGAGUGA